rnacentral:rRNA from 1 species
UUGUUGGAUGGGACCUUACCUCCUGGUGAACGGCGAUGUCCUUUACUGGGUGUCGUCGCAAACCAGGACGUUUACUUUGAAAAAAUUAGAGUGUUCAAAGCAGGCCUUUGCCCGAAUACAUUAGCAUGGAAUAAUAGAAUAGGACGCGCGUUCCCAUUUUGUUGGUUUCUGAGAUCGCCGUAAUGAUUAAUAGGGAUAGUUGGGGGCAUUUGUAUUCCGACGUCAGAGGUGAAAUUCUUGGAUUGCCGGAAGACAAACUACUGCGAAAGCAUUUGCCAAGGAUGUUUUCAUUGAUCAAGAACGAAGGAAGGGGGAUCGAAAACGAUUAGAUACCGUUGUAGUCUCUUCUGUAAACUAUGCCAAUUGGGGAUCGGCACAGGAUUUUUAAUGACUGUGUCGGCACCCGAAGAGAAAUCUUUAAAUGAGGUUCGGGGGGGAGUAUGGUCGCAAGGCUGAAACUUAAAGGAAUUGACGGAAGGGCACCACCAGGAGU